rnacentral:rRNA from 1 species
GCGCAGCAGGCGCGAAAUAGUCUACAAUGGACGAAAGUCUGAUAGUGCGACGCCGUGUGUGCGAUUAAUUCCUUCGGGAUGUAAAGCACUUUUCUAUGAGAUAAAAGCUCUUUAGGUUAAUAGCUUAUUGAGACGGAUAUUAUUAUAGGAAUAAGCUCCGGCUAACUCCGUGCCAGCAGCCGCGGUAAUACGGAAGGAGCGAGCGGUUGUCCGGAUUUACUAGGCGUAAAGGGCUAGUAGGCGACUAAUUAAGUUAUAUGUUAAAUCCCACGGCUCAACUGUGGUCCUGCAUGUAAUACGUGGUUAGAUAGAGUACUGUAGAGGAAGGCAGAAUUCCUGGAGUAGCGGUGGAAUGCGCAGAUAUCAGGAAGAAUACAAAAGCGAAGGCAG